CACGUAGGGGGCAAGCGUUGUCCGGAUUUAUUGGGCGUAAAGAGCUCGUAGGCGGUUCGGUAAGUCGGGUGUGAAAACUCUGGGCUCAACCCAGAGAUGCCACUCGAUACUGCUGUGACUAGAGUGCGGUAGGGGAGCGGGGAAUUCCUGGUGUAGCGGUGAAAUGCGCAGAUAUCAGGAGGAACACCAGUGGCGAAGGCGCCGCUCUGGGCCGUGACUGACGCUGAGGGAGCGAAAAGCGUGGGGUAGCAAACAGG
rnacentral:rRNA from 1 species